UCCCAUAUGGUCUAGUGGUUAGGAUUUGGCGCUCUCACCGCCAAGGCCUGGCUUCAAAUCCCGGUGUGGAAA
rnacentral:tRNA from 1 species